GACAGAGGUGCCGAGCGUUAGGCGGAAUCGCUGGGCUUAAAGCGUGUGUAGGCGGACCGUUAAGUACCUUGCGAAAUCCCCCGGCUCAACCGGGGAACGGCUGGGUAUACUGGCGGUCUUGAGCCAUCCAGGGGCAGUCGGAACAGACGGUGGAGCGGUGAAAUGCGUAGAUAUCGUCUGGAACGCCGAAGGUGAAAACAGACUGCUGGGGAUGCGCUGACGCUGAGACACGAAAGCCAGGGGAGCGAACGGG
rnacentral:rRNA from 1 species